UACGUAGGGGGCAAGCGUUGUCCGGAUUUAUUGGGCGUAAAGAGCGUGUAGGCGGCCAUGUAGGUCCGGUGUGAAAACUCGAGGCUUAACCUCGAGAUGUCAUCGGAAACCAUUUGGCUAGAGUCCGGAAGAGGAGAGUGGAAUUCCUGGUGUAGCGGUGAAAUGCGUAGAUAUCAGGAGGAACACCGGUGGCGAAGGCGGCUCUCUGGACCACAACUGACGUGAGGCGCGAAAAGCGUGGGGGAGCAAAACAG
rnacentral:rRNA from 1 species